rnacentral:rRNA from 1 species
AGUGAACGCUGGCGGUAGGCCUAACACAUGCAAGUCGAACGGCAGCACAGUAAGAGCUUGCUCUUACGGGUGGCGAGUGGCGGACGGGUGAGGAAUACAUCGGAAUCUACUUUUUCGUGGGGGAUAAUGUAGGGAAACUUACGCUAAUACCGCAUACGACCUACGGGUGAAAGCAGGGGAUCUUCGGACCUUGCGCGAUUGAAUGAGCCGAUGUCGGAUUAGCUAGUUGGCGGGGUAAAGGCCCACCAAGGCGACGAUCCGUAGCUGGUCUGAGAGGAUGAUCAGCCACACUGGAACUGAGACACUGUCCAGACUCCUACGGGAGGCAGCAGUGGGGAAUAUUGGACAAUGGGCGCAAGCCUGAUCCAGCCAUACCGCGUGGGUGAAGAAGGCCUUCGGGUUGUAAAGCCCUUUUGUUGGGAAAGAAAAGCAGCAGGUUAAUACCCCGCUGUUCUGACGGUACCCAAAGAAUAAGCACCGGCUAACUUCGUG